GCGAUUGGCCCUAAGCGCGGGUGGCUGGGGUUGCGAGAGGCAUCAGGAUCCCUGGCGGCGCCUGAGCCAGCGGCUGCUAGGAGGCUGUGUCCGCAAGCCAGCGGGGCGAGGCGCCUGGGCCCUGCGCGUCAGGUCCCGGCCUGGGGCACCGGGGCUGCCAGCGUCGGAGGAGGCCUGAGACCUGGGAGGAAGCUGGAGAAAAGAUGCCCUCUGAAUCUUUGUGUUUGGCUGCCCAGGCUCGCCUUGACACCGAAUGGUUGAAAACAGAUAUACAGAUGGUAGUGUCGAACCAAGUGGAACAAAGAAAGAAGAUCUGAAUGACAAAGAGAAAAAAAAUGAAGACGAAACUCCUGCACCUGUAUAUAGGGCCAAGUCAAUUCUGGAGACCUGGGUGUGGGUCAAGCAACCAGGAAACGGAAGCCCAAAGAGGAGGGGAGCUUACAGCAGGCCCUGGACUAGGGAUUAACACAAAAACAACAGCAACAAAUCUGAUUUAAGCUUCACACAUAUACUCGGGAGACUGAGGCAGGAGAAUCGCUUGAACCUGGGAUGCAGAGGUUGCAGUGAGCCGAGAUCGCACCAUUGCACUCCAGCCUGGGCGACAGAACGAAACUGUGUCUCAUAAAACAAAUAUAACUGAAAUGGUAAUGUGUUUCUUUAAAACUGAAGAAAAUGUGCAAGGUGGAUGUCUUCCUGUCACUUCGCACAGCCUACUGCCAUAGCACCUGAGCCCCAGACCCUAAACUCACUGUCCUGCUCGGGGACCCCAGACCACACUGGCCAUUGAAGGCACCCCAAGUACUCUCCUAUCCUCACCUCGCUCCUGCAGUAAAUGGCUAAAUGAAUAACUCAGAAGUGAAGCCAAAAAAGAAAAAGAAAAUGCACAUGGGGAACAGGAGAGGCGAGCAGAGGCCAGUCUGGAAGCCUGGGCUGAUACGCUGUGAAGAGAUGUCUCCGGGUGCUGCCUGCGGGGCGCAGUCUGCCAUUCAGAACACACCUAGAGAAGUCCUAACCAUUAAAGAGCACCCAUUCCUGAGUCCCCUGCCUGCCCACAAAACUUUCCUUGAAACACCCUAACCUCUGAGCCUUUGGGGAGGCUGAUUUCAGUGAUAACUCCAGUCCUUCCAUGUGGCUGGCAUUGAGUUAAUUCAACUCCUUACUGCAAUACCAUGGCCUCAGUGAACUGGUUUUGUCUGUGCAGCAAGCAGGAAGAACCCACCAGGGAAUUACAAUGGUAUUGGGAAAACUGGAUUUCCACGUGCAAAUGAAUGAAUGAUGUUACCCCAAGUGGUUGGGGAUGCAAUCAUACGGGUGUGGAAAUAGUCCUUAUGCACUGAGUCCACAUCUGGGUGGGGCCACAGGUUGAGUCCAGGUGGGGUAAGUCUGAGAAACAUCCCAAAAGGCCAAUUUUAGGUUCCACAAUAGUGAUGUUAUCUACAGGAGGCACUGGGGAAGACACAAAUCUUGUGACCUCUGGCCACAUGACUCCUGAGCAGUAAGGGGUUACAGAAACUAUGCCUGUAUUUUCACAGAAUUCAGGCCCCCACGCACCAAAUCCUAAUCUUGUGGCCUUUCAUUCAUCUUACAAAAGUGGGUUCAGCUCCUGGACAAGGACAGCAUCAGUUUUAGGGAGGUUCUAUUAUCAUCCUUGCUUCAACGUUAGCAUAGCAGACAAGCGCAGAACCAGAAAUUAACACGUGGGAAAUUAUACACCACAAAUAGUACAAUCCAUGGAAGAACCAAGGGAAUGGCGAUAGCAGAAUGUCAGGAAAGGACUUUGUAAUGUGUAGGCCUUAGAGAAAUAGGGAACUGAGACAAGAAUCUAUUUGAAUUCUUGGAAAUAAAAAAUGUAAUUACCAUGUUGGCCAGGCUGGUCUUGAACUCCUGACCUCAGGUGAUCCACCUGCGUCGGCCUCCCAAACUGCUGGGAUUGCAGACAUGAGCCACUGCACCCGGCCAAGAAGUGACUAUUGUUUCUCCAUUGUGUCCUCUUGAUGCCCUUGUCAAAAAUUAGUUGACCAGAUAUGUUUGGAUUUAUUUCUGAGCUCUCUGUUGUGUUACUGUCAAUUUUUCCAUAUCCUGCUUUUCUUUUUCUUUUUUUGCUGCAAAAACUUUCUUCCCCUUUGGUCCACGGCUUGGGAGAAGGCUGGAGGGUGGUUAAAAAGCUGCCUACUGGCUGGAGAGAGAGGGUCAGGCAGAAGCCCUGAUACCAGGAGGUGCAGAGGAACCCCUCAAAGGCUGCUGGGCUUUGGAGGCCCUGGUUGUGCUUGUGGGUAGGCUUUUGGAAAAGAGACUGGUGCAGGUGGGCCUGGGGGCUGGCCGGCCAGCAAAGGUAACUGCGGUGGUUGCCCAUCAUCUUGAAGAGUUUCAUCUUCCCAUUUAGGAAAUGGCUGUCCUGAAAGUCACAGAGAUGAAAGUCUGUGUGGGCAGAUCCCAGGGCAUGCGGAUCCAUAAGGGCCUGGUUCAGAUUCUUCUCCAGGCAACGGUGGCUUUGAUGGCAUCCAUGAUUUUCCCCACUCAUCUAGAGAUGGCUUCUGUGCACCUUGGAAGAUGGUGCAGCUGGUUUUGCACUUCCAAGAGACACACUGUGCCCUUGUGCUUCUAUUGAACCAACUCAUGGAAGAAGCAGCCAAAGCGCUCCAGAGCCACUCAUUGUGGUUGAAAUAGAAGCCCAGGGAAUGGUAAGUGCAGGACACCCGCCGAUGCACAUGGACCAGGCAGCUGACUGCAGCUUCCUCCUCGGUGGAAUCAUUCUGACGAAUCUGGGAGCUUGUGGUUGGUUGGCAAUAAGGAGCUAACCUUAUUUCUAACACAACGGUGUUGGCUGGUCCUGGAAGCAGGAGAUGGCUGAGAAGAUGGUCCUGGAGGUUGCAAUUGGAGAGAAGAUUGGAGGUUAGGAGAGGCUGGAAGAAAGGGAGUCCUCAGGUCUGUCCUAUCCUAACACUGUUGAAUCAAGGGACAGAUGUGUGGGAUCACUGGGAGUGCUGCCUAGACCUGCAAUUUUUUUUUUUUUUUUUUUGAGACAGAGUCUCAGUGUGUCACCCAGGCUGUAGUGCAGUGGUGCAAUCUCGGCUCACUGCAACCUCCGCCUCCUGGGUUCGAGCAAUUCUCCUGCCUCAGCUUACCGAGUAGCUGGGAAUACAGGCGCCCACCACCAUGCCCGGCUAAUUUUUGUAUUUUUAGUAGAGACGGGUUUCACCAUGUUGGCCAGGCUGGUAUCCAACUCCUGACCUCAGGUGAUCCACCUGCCUUUGCCUCCCAAAGUGCUGGGAUUACGGGCGUGAGCCACCAUGCCCGGCCUGGACCUGCAUUUUUAAUGUGUGUUUUUAAUAUGCAGAAUAUAGCUAAGAAAUGAAAUCCAAUAUAUUUUGAUUUUUAUGUUA
rnacentral:lncRNA from 1 species